rnacentral:lncRNA from 1 species
UGAUCUUCAUAUAUCUAGGUAAGUGAUGUCUGUUUACGUGAACUGUUUAUCAUGUGCUUUUAUAACAGUGAUUUUUGUAAGUAAUGACAGUAUUUCUAGUUCUAGUGACCAUGUUAUAUUGUUUUUAAUUUAGAGAAAACUUAUGGUUUACGCUGUGAGUAUCAAAUGAUUUGCGUGUACACAGAUAACAACGUGGUGUGCUUCAUAGUAGUAACUGUGGUAUCCUUGCAGAUAGGUAGUCAAGAAAAAAUGGUGUGUCCUUCAAGGUUGUAGACCUUGGGAAUACUGCAAAAUUCCAUGUAGAUUUAUGUCUUCUGCAAUGAUGACAGCCAACAAGUUAUUUGCAGGGUUCUGGUGGAAGAGUUGUGUCCACAGACACAUUUGUCAUAAUGUGGUUUCAGGUUCCUCUCAAGGGGUCAUGGGAAACCUCAUCAUGAUCAACAAUGGGACAUUGCUGGUAUCCAAGCCAAUUAUGAUGUGGGCCUUAAACACCCUACAAAAAUGUGAUCUACAGAAAUGUAGGUAACUGUAGAUGGUUUUCCUAAUUUUUGUGUUGCCAUAUUUUGUGCAGGUAUUUAGUUAAGGAAUUAUAUUUUCCCAACCAACGCAGGUAAGCAUCAGUCAUUAUUUUAGAGUUUAGUUAUAAUGUGUUUAGUCUUAUAGUGAGGGAGGGAUAUGCAGGUAUCCAGGUAAGUUUUCCUACUGUUUCCCACCACGUUAUUGACCAUGAGACUUCAACAUCAUCAAGAGAUGAUGGUGCCACUACAUUGUUGACAUUGAAGUCAUGGCAAAUCCAAGUAGUGUUGAAGGUUCCCUGCUGAUGGAAGUGCCCAGAAUUAUUUGUGUCUUGUCUUUUUUUAUGUAAAACAAAUUGUUUCCUUAAACACACUUGAGCAAUGUGUUUUUUAGUUUUCUGUAAUGAGCUCACAAUCAAGCUUAACAAUAGUCAUUAAUGGAACCGUGCUGUAACCUGCUAAUUGAGAAAGUGUGUUUCCCACAAUCAGACCAUUAGAUCUUUAUAUUUCCAUGUAAGUGAGGAUGGUGUCCUUAACACUUGUCUACCAUGUAUUCCUGCAGGUAUCCUGUUAAGUUCUUUCCUAGUAUACAGGUAGAAGAUUAUGUGAUAUUAACACAUUAGCAACCUUCCUAUUUUCAGAUAUGUAGGUGAUUAAUGAUUUUUUUGAGACUCUUCUUGUAACCUUGUGUUUGUCAUGCAUGCAGUUAAGAAAUUACUUUUUCCCUAACAUUACUAGUAAGAGUGAGAUUUUACUGUGUUCUUGUUUAGACAUAAUGUGUAUUUAUCAAUUGUAGUGAUAUAUGGAUAUGCGAGUAUCCAGGUAAUUUAUCAUAUUGUCCAUCACUGUAAUGCUGAGAUUUUUGUAGGUAUCACUUCAAGAGAGGAAAGUUUCUCUUACGAGUGUUUUCCCUUGGCAUUAUGCAAGCAUCCAGUUACCUUUGAUAGGCCCUGAAAUGAUGAAAGAGACGAAGGGAAUUUGCAGGUGUACAGGUAGAAUGAGACAUUUAGGAAACACAUUUUCAACAGUAUAUUUUUUAGGUUCAUUUGAAGAGGUCACAGUGAGCCUAUCAGUAAUAGUUAACAGGGGUCAUUGCUCGUAUGGAUGUGCAUGAUAAUGUGGGCCUAAAACACAGCCCAGCCCAUCUGAUCUUCCCUUAUAUAGGUAAGUGGUGGUGUCCCUAACACUUCUGUUACUAUGAUUUUGUUGUAGCUGUUCAAGUAAGAAAUGAUAGAGCUCUUACCAAUUUAAAAAAACAUUAUUUUUCUCACUUUUUAUAUUUUAGAAUAACUUUAUGAUUAACCUCUGAGUUUUGAGUGAUAGUGCCUAUCCUGGUUAUUGGUGUUUCUUACCACAGCAGUAACCAGGGGAUUUUUACAGGUGUCCUGUCAAGAAAUGACCGUCUUACCUGACAGUGGUAUUGAUCUUGCAUUAUUACAAGUAUCCAGGUAGAGUUUAUGUGUUCUGUAAUGAUGGAGUGACGAAGGUUAUUUUCAGAUGUCUUGGUGGAAAUGUUUGUGUCCUUUAACACAUAUUUCACAAUGUGUAUUUCAGGUUUCUGUAGUGAGACCCUGAUAAACCUAACAAUGGUUGGUAUGGCAGACAUUUCUGGUAUGCAGGCAAGUGAUGAUGUGUUCUUUAACCACAUCAUAGACCAUCAGAUCUUCUUAUAUCUUUUUUUUUUUUUUUUUUGACAGAGUCUCGCUUUGUCACCCAGGCUGGAGUGCAGUGGGGUGAUCUCGGCUCACUGCAGCCUCCACCUCCCAGGUUCAAGCGAUUCUCGUGCCUCUGCAUCCUGAAUAGCUGGGAUUACAGGUGUGCACCACCACAUCCUGCUGAUUUUUGUAUUUUGAGAGAUGGGGUUUUGGCACGUUGGCCAAGCUGGUCUCGAACUCCUGGCUUCAAGCAGUCCACCCACCUUGGCCUCCCAAAGUGCUGGAAUUACAGGCGUGCACCACCACGCCCGGCCAGAUCUUCAUAUAUCUAAGAUCCUGUCAAGAAGACAUGGUAAACCUCAUCAUGAUCAAGAAUGAGACUUUGCUUGCAUCCAGGCAUUCAGUUAAGAAAUGAUGUUUUCCCAACCAAGGCUAGCUUCCCAAAAGUUGUUUGAUAGUAUACAGGCAUGAGAUGGUGUGACUCUAACUCAUUAGAUGCCUUCGUCUUUUCAGUCAUCAUGUGAUGGAAAGAAAGCUAUCAACUUCAUUCCUGAGACUUCCUGCAACACAGAUCCAUCUAAACUUUUACUUCAUUGGAGGGUCCUUCCUGACCCAUGCAACUCAACAAAAAACUCUCACAGUUUUUAUAUGCUUUGUUGGGGAUUAACCCAUCUUGCAUUGCAUUGCUAGCUUAGUAUGUCUAGCAUGGGCAUGCCUGCUGAAGUUUGGAACUUCCCAUCAAGGAAACAGGAAAAUGCCAUUGGCAAUGAGCUGAAGACUGAUUUACUCUACCAGGAGCAGCAGGACAUCUGGGGAUGAGAAGAUGGAGAGAUCAUCCUUAUAUAAUGUUGCAGUCUGGAAGCAUCACUCUCAAAAAGCCAUUGUAGAGAAUCCAAGCCGAGUUUAAGAGUGCUGUGGAAAUACACUGCUGCUACUGCUGUUUCUAUUACUGUUUGAUGCUGGGACUCUUAUGCUCCAACCACGUUUUCACCCAGCUGAGUCGCCUUCGUAUCACGCCUUUCCAGUUUUGAUAGACUAGAAAAAUGACAAGACUCCAAGUCCUUGAAGAGGAGGAAAAGUGUGAAGAAAACAAAAAAGGGAGAUUUAUGUCUGCUUCACCAUUUUGCCCAAGACUUGACCUGUCAUACACUGAAGCUCAGAGAGGAAGAAAGGACCGUGUGAGAGAAGAAGGGAACAGCCUUUCAUCCAUAGGAGAAGUUCGUCUAUGACAAAGCCACUAGCUCCAUGUGGCCGCUGAGCACUCAAAAUGUGGCCAGUCUGAAUUGAGAUAUGUUGUUAGUAUAAAGUCCACAUCGGCUUUUUGAGCACUUUGUAUGAGAAAAAAGAAUACCAAAUAUCUCCUUAAUAAUUGUUACAUUGAUUAUAUGUUGAACUGAUAACAUUAUGGAUAUAUUGGAUUAAAUAAAAUAAAUUAUUAAAAUCAAAUAAAAAAUAAAAUCAAUUUCACCUGUUU